UACAGAGGUCCCAAGCGUUGUUCGGAUUUACUGGGCGUAAAGGGUGCGUAGGUGGCGAGGUAAGUUCGAUGUGAAAUCUCCGAGCUCAACUCGGAAAUGGCAUUGAAUACUAUCCCGCUUGAGGGUCGGAGGGGAGACUGGAAUUCUCGGUGUAGCAGUGAAAUGCGUAGAUAUCAGGAGGAAUACCGAUGGCGAAGGCAGGUCUCUGGGCUGACACUGACGCUCAUGCACGAAAGCGUGGGGAGCAAACAGG
rnacentral:rRNA from 1 species